ACGAUAUUGUGUUUGAGCCGUUUUGAUGGCUUAGGUCUGGAAGCAAGAAAGACGAUAUUGUGUUUGAGCCGUUUUGAUGGCUUAGGUCUGGGAGUAAGAAAGACGAUAUUGUGUUUGAGCCGUUUUGAUGGCUUAGGUCUGGGAGUAAGAAAGCGUCUGUCACAACACAGUGGAGUAACAGCUUGCGUUUCCAUGUCUAAGUUACACUCCCUUGGAACGGCUUAACAAGCAGGGCUAUACCAACAGAGAGCCUGGAAUGGGACAGCACUUUUUUCCACCAUCAAGGAUCCUGGAGUUGUACUAAAUGCGGCUUGAUUGGCAGGAUGUCAAGUCAUCAUGUGCGACUUCACUUACCUCCCAAGAGAGGAGCCAUGGGAAGCACAUACUUUACAGGACCAAUUACAGAUACUCAAACAGAAGCAGGAAGAAAACGCUGUUUGAAAAGUCAGAAGAAAGAUCAAAAACAUAUUUGCAUAAUCUUUUCCCCCCCACACACCGGAGGGCCAGAUGUCUCCAGACGCAGCACCAUUCAUUUAAUCACAAAGCAUCAUAUGAUGGCUUCAGUUAAAAUGUGGUUUGUCAUUUGUUGUAUUUUCCUUUAUAUUGAAUGGCAUAGUCACGAUGGAUAUACCCUAGUGAAAGAAAGCUCUCUGAAAUUGGCUGACGGCAACGUUUUGUGAAAUAUCUCCCGCCAGUUGUGACAGCCCCAUACACAACCCAAAGAUCGAAGUGAUUGAGUGCAGGGAGGGAGCGGCUGAGUGCAUAUUUUGGACUAUCGGGAUAGUGCAGACUAUCGGCAUUGCGUGUCAGAGAGGGGAAUAAUUUGACAACUGUAGAGAGGAACAUUAGAGAGGCUCGAUUGCAUUUAUUCCAUGUGCAGAGAAGUAUUUAAAAGGAUGCGGGGCAGAAGGAAACGCCAUACCUAGAUCACAAACACAGUCAGAGAUCACUCUCACUGAAUGACACCGAGGGGUAGGUGGAUCUGUUGGUAUGGGGCAAUAAGGUCAUUAGUUCAUGGUAGAUCGAAACAUUGAAUCGUGAGACUAGUUUUAUUUAUUUAACUAGGCACAUCAGUUAAGAACAAAUUCUUAUUUACAAUGUCGGCCUACCAAAAGCCAUGCGGGAUGGGU